rnacentral:rRNA from 1 species
CCUACGGGAGGCAGCAGUAGGGAAUAUUGGACAAUGGGUGAGAGCCUGAUCCAGCCAUGCCGCGUGCAGGAAGAAGGCGUUAUGCGUUGUAAACUGCUUUUGCCAGGGGAUAAAACGGUUCUGCGGAACUAAUUGAAGGUACCUGGUGAAUAAGCCACGGCUAACUACGUGCCAGCAGCCGCGGUAAUACGUAGGUGGCAAGCGUUGU